AGGAGUGGCUUGGGUACAGCUACACAUGCAGAGUCAUAUACCAGAACCACACAGAAGAGAUGAUGAUUGAAGUAGAACGGUUCUUGUUUGCCCGAAGUCGAGAACACUGGCUACCUCUUGUUAUCCUGCUCUGUCUGUUCAUCAUCCUUGUCAACAUCGCCAGCAAGAGCAAGAGCACCACAAACACCACCAGCUCAGCAUAAGCAGCGCCACUGGUACCAUCAGGAGCAAAAAC